rnacentral:rRNA from 1 species
GACGAACGCUGGCGGCGUGCUUAACACAUGCAAGUCGAGCGACUGCAUUCUUUUCGGAGGGUGUAUGGAGCGGCGAACGGGUGAGUAACACGUGAGUAAUCUGCCUUUGGCUUGGGAAUAACUUCGGGAAAUCGGGGCUAAUGCCUGAUGUUUACUGUCUGCUGCAUGGUGGGUGGUGGAAAGAUUUUUUGGCCAGGGAUGAGCUCGCGGUCUAUCAGCUGUUGGUGGGGUAAUGGCUUACCAAGGCUUUGACGGGUAGCCGGCCUGAGAGGGGUGUUCGGCCACACUGGGACUGAGACACGGCCCAGACUCCUACGGGAGGCAGCAGUGGGGAAUAUUGCGCAAUGGGCGUAAGCCUGACGCAGCGACGCCGCGGU